UGGGGAAUUUUGGACAAUGGGGGCAACCCUGAUCCAGCAAUGCCGCGUGUGUGAAGAAGGCCUUCGGGUUGUAAAGCACUUUUGUCCGGAAAGAAAAAGCGCCGUGGUUAAAUACCCGUGGCGGAUGACGGUACCGGAAGAAUAAGCACCGGCUAACUACGUGCCAGCAGCCGCGGUAAUACGUAGGGUGCAAGCGUUAAUCGGAAUUACUGGGCGUAAAGCGUGCGCAGGCGUCCGCUAAGACAGAUGUGAAAUCCCCGGGGCUUAACCUGGGAACUGCAUUUGUGACUGGCGGGCUAGAGUAUGGCAGAGGGGGGUANAAUUCCACGUGUAGCAGUGAAAUGCGUAGAGAUGUGGAGGAAUACCGAUGGCGAAGGCAGCCCCCUGGGCCAAUACUGACGCUCAUGCACGAAAAGCGUGGGGGGAGCAAACAGGAUUAGAUACCCUGGUAGUCCACGCCCUAAACGAUGU
rnacentral:rRNA from 1 species